UACGUAGGGUCCGAGCGUUGUCCGGAAUUAUUGGGCGUAAAGGGCUCGUAGGCGGUUUGUCACGUCGGGAGUGAAAACACGGGGCUUAACCCCGUGCCUGCUUCCGAUACGGGCAGACUAGAGGUAUGCAGGGGAGAACGGAAUUCCUGGUGUAGCGGUGAAAUGCGCAGAUAUCAGGAGGAACACCGGUGGCGAAGGCGGUUCUCUGGGCAGUACCUGACGCUGAGGAGCGAAAGUGUGGGGAGCAAACAGG
rnacentral:rRNA from 1 species